CUGAAACCUUUUGUUUUCUCAACUAUAAAUUGAUUCUUAUGUUUCUCUUUUUCUGUGCCUCUGAAUUGUUUUGUCUUCUCACUCUCAUUUUUCUUUUCAUUCAUUUACAAAGAAAUCCUAAAUUUGCCUUCUUAUGCACAACCCAUGCUUAGAUUCUUUUGUUUGGGAUUCUCACUCACUCUUUCGCCAAACUCUCUCUGUGUUUCCUCUUCUUUUGUUUGAAGAAGAAAUGGGUGUGGUUCCAAAAAAAAAAAAAAAAAAACCAUUAAUAAGUUUGAAGCAUUAAUGGAAGAAGGUCAUUUCUUCUUGCAAGGUUUUAGUAAAUCGGUCCUAAAAACCAUAGAAAUCUCAAAAGAAACCUUCAGUUUCUUCUUCUGUUGCAUAUUUUACUGUUUAAUGUUGAAUUUUUUUAUUUUUUUUUAAAUUUUGCGAGUUCCUAACAAAUUGACCAUUUCUAUUUUUGUUGUUGUAAAUCUUCGAGCUCUUUCUUUCUUUUUUCUGUAUUAUUUCUUGCAAUGAUAACCGUUUAAUGUUGAUAUUUUUUUUCCUUUUUGCGAGGCUUUAACAAAUUGUUCCAAAAUAUGGUAGAACCUCGAAAGAAAUUUGAGUUUUGUCAGUUGUGAAUGUUCAAGUUGUUUCGUUCUUUUUUUUUUUUUUCCAAUAAUUUUAACAAAUUGUUUCCAAAAGAUCAUAAAAUUUUGACAGAAAUUAGACUUUGAGGAUGUCAAUUAUGUUCCUUUAUAAUUUUGUUUUAUUUUUUGUCGAAUUCUAUUCAUGUCUAUUUUGAUGUUUUGUUCUUUUCCUUCAGUAUGUUUUUUUUGAAGUUUCUGUGCAAGUUGUAAAAAAAAAAAAAAAGAUUCACAUACAAAUUGAAGAUUAUCGAACUCAGGACUCAGGUAUGUCACCUUUAUAUUUUCUUUGUUUGAUGGUUUUUUUUCCAAAUAAUUCAUUCUCACUAUCCAUUACUUUUUGUUUCAGCUUUCGAUCUUCUCGAUGUUUGAAUUGAGCGUUAUAGUUUGGGUGAUUAUGUGUAUAGUUUUUUUAUUGUAGUUAAGGAAAUAUUUGUUCUUGAUAGAUUUGUCAUUGAAAUGAUACGUAGA
rnacentral:lncRNA from 1 species